AUGGAGGUUACUGAUAUAUGCCCAUUAUGUGGUCUCGAGCGCGAGGACACUUUUCAUGUGUUUUGCAGGUGCCCUCGGGUGGUGCAUUUGUGGCGGACUAUGGCGGAGGUGUGGAGUAUACCGGACAUCGAGUCAGUCCGUAACACCGGCCCGGAGUGGCUCCUGAACCUAAUUGCAGAAAGCAAUGAAGGGGACCGGCUGCGCCUGAUUAUGCUGCUGUGGAGAUGUUGGCAUGUGCGCAACGAGAUCACUCAUGACAAACCGGCGCCGCCUGUGGAGGUAUCUCGUCGCUUUUUGCAGAGCUACGUAACCUCACUGCUCGGGAUCCAGCAGUAUCCGCAGGGAGAUUGGGACAAAGGGAAGAUGACCAUCCAACAAGAAGAUGCAGAACAGCCUAUAUCGCAUGUGGGAGGUGUGCCACGAACAGCCCACAAAUGGGGUCCCCCACCCGCCAACUGGACGAAGCUGAAUGUCGACGGCUCCUUUUCCCAUGAUGACGGGAGGGCCGGGACGGGAAUGGUGCUCCGUGACCAGGAAGGGGCCAUUAUUUUCUCCGCGUGUCGCUCGCUAUGGUCUUGCCCGGGCCCUCUACAUGCCGAGCUAGCUGGGUGCAUGGAGGGCAUAGCUUUGGCCCUCCAAUGGACGGAGCUGCCGUUUAUCAUCGAGUGUGAUAGUCUGCAGGCAGUGCAACUGAUCAAUGCCUCAGGACAAGACCGGUCGCAGUACGCCAUGGUGGUCUCGGAAGUGAAGCAUCUUAUGAGUGAAAGGGAGUGUCAUGUUAUUCAUAUUUCUCGAGAGCAGAAUAAUGUAAGCCAUACGUUGGCGAACUUUGGAAGGACGGAAGACCGUACUGUGGUCUGGCUCCACACCGGCCCGGACAAUAUCCCUAGCUUGUGUAGGGAGGACCUUCUUGGCUCUUGA
rnacentral:rRNA from 1 species